CAGCCCCACCCCCCAAGGCUAUAGCCCACCCGUUUUUGUGGCCUUUUUCCGGUCGACGAACUUGGCGCCCCGGCCUUCGGUCGCUUAUUUUUGCGCGCGGUUGUGCCCGCGGCCUAUUUUUGGCACCCGUAGGCCUCUCGCAAUGUCUCGCGCCUUUCCGAGUCUGGCGGACGAACUUGGCCAGCCCCACCCCCCAAGGCUAUAGCCCACCCGUGUUUGUUGCCUUUUUCCGCUGGACGAAGUUGGCGCCCAGGCCUUCGAUCGCUUAUUUUUGGGUACGGCUGUGUCCACGUCCUAUUUUUGGCACACGGAGGCCCGUCGUAAAGUCUCAUGCCAUUCCGAGUCCGGCGGACGAACUUGGCCGGCCCCACCCCCCAAGACUAUAGCCCAUCCGUUUUUGUGGCCUUUUUCCGCUGGGCGAACUUGGCGCCCCGGCCUUCGGUCACUUAUUUUUGGGCGUGGCUGCGCCCGCGUCCUAUUUUUGGCACACGGAGGCCCCUAGCAAAGUCUCGCGCCAUUCCGAGUCCGGCGGACGAACUUCGCCAGCCCCACCCCCCAAGGCUAUAGCCCACCCGUUUUUGUGGCCUUUUUCCGCGGGACGAACGUGGCGCCCCAGCCUUCGGUCCCUUAUUUUUGGGCGCGGUUGUGCCCACGGUCUAGUUUUAGCACACGGAGGCCCCUCGCAUAGGAUCGCGCCAUUCCGAGUCCGGCGGACGAACUUGGCCAGCCCCACCCCCCAAGGCUAUAGCCCACCCGUUUUUGUGGCCUUUUUCCGGUCGACGAACUUGGCGCCCCGGCCUUCCGUCGCUUAUUUUUGGGUGCGGCUGUGCCCGUGGCCUAUUUUUGGCACACGGAGGCCUCUCGCAAUGUCUCGCGCCAUUUGGAGUCCGGCGGACGAACUUGGCCAGCCCCACCCCCAGGGGCUAUAGCCCACCCGUUUUUUUGGCAUUUUUCCGAUGGGGGGUUUUGGCGCCCCAACUUUCGGUCGCUUAUUUUUGGGCGCGGCUUUGCCCGCGGCCUAUUUUUGGCGCACAGAGGCCCCUCGGAAAGUCUCGUGCAAUUCCGAUUUCGGCGGACGAACUUGGCCAGCCGCACCCCCCAAGGCUAUAGCCCACCCGUUUUUGUGGCCUUUUUCCGCUGGACGUUCUUGGCGCCCCGGCCUUCGGUCGCUUAUUUUUGGGCGCGGCUGUGCCCGCGGCAUAUUUUUGACACACGGAGGCCCCUCAGAAAAGUCUCGCGCCAUUCCGAGUCCGGCGGACGAACUUGGCCAGCCCCGCCCCCAAAGGCUAUAGCCCACCCGUUUUUUUGGCCUUUUUCCGCUGGGGGGUUUUGGCGCCCCGGCCUUCGGUCGCUUAUUUUUGAGUGCGGCUGUCCCCGCGGCCUAUUUUUGGCACAGGGAGGCCCCUCACAAAGUCUCGCGCCAUUCCUUGUCCGGCGGACGAACUUGGCCCGCCCCACCCCCAAAGGCUAUAGCCCACCCGUUUUUUUGGCCUUUUUCCGCUGGGGUGUUUUGGCGCCCCGGCCUUCGGUCGCUUAUUUUUGGGCGCGGCAGUGCCCGCGGCCUAUUUUUGGCACACGGAGGCCUCUCGCAAAGUCUCGCGCCAUUCC
rnacentral:lncRNA from 1 species